UCCGUAGGCGGGCAAUUAAGUCAGAGGUGAAAUCCCACAGCUCAACUGUGGAACUGCCUUUGAUACUGGUUGUCUUGAGUUAUAGUGAAGUAGAUAGAAUAUGUAGUGUAGCGGUGAAAUGCAUAGAUAUUACAUAGAAUACCGAUUGCGAAGGCAGUCUACUAACUGUACACUGACGCUAAUGGACGAAAGCGUGGGUAGCAAACAGGAUUAGAUACCCUGGUAGUCC
rnacentral:rRNA from 1 species